AUUAUGCUUGAAGGAAAAUGGCUUUAAAAAUGCUUUUUGUCGUUUGGAAAGUCCUUUUGUUCUGUACCCUUCUCUUGGCUUUUCAGGUGGCUGCUAGGGAACUGCUCCAAACUUCCCCUGUUCCUAAUAUAUCACCCUCACCCACGAAGAAGUUGCGCAAACGCGAUGAGCCAUGGGGCCAUAAUCCAUGAAAUUUGUUUCAUCUCUUUCGGAAUAAGAGUCUCCUCAUGAUCAAGACUAAUGUUUGGGUUUGAUCGAGUCUCAUAUUUGUGGGCAGCUAUAUAUUUUUUCUUUUUCUAUACUUUUCUAAAACUAAUUAAAAAAAUAAUAAUUUGUAUUGAAUAUUGUAUAAAUAACUUCAAUUGUAACAUUGUCGUUAACUUGUUGUUUCUAGCGUUAUGCACACGUUGCAACUUGUAACAUUCUUGGACCAACUGCGCUAUGAAAGUGAAUAACCAUGUUUGACAA